rnacentral:tRNA from 1 species
CAGAUAUUAGUUUAUUAAAAUUUUAAUUUUGGAGAUUAAAGAUAAAAAAAAUUUUUAUAUCUGA